UCCUGGUUAGCGCAGUUGGUAGAGCGCUCUUCUGUAAAUGGAGAAGUCCCGGGUUCGAUACUCGGACCAGGCG
rnacentral:tRNA from 2 species